rnacentral:rRNA from 1 species
CUUUCUUUGCUGGCGACCGGCGCACGGGUGAGUAACACGUAUCCAACCUGCCCUUUACUCGGGGAUAGCCUUUCGAAAGAAAGAUUAAUACCCGAUAGCAUAAUUAGACCGCAUGGUCUUAUUAUUAAAGAAUUUCGGUUAUCGAUGGGGAUGCGUUCCAUUAGGCAGUUGGUGAGGUAACGGCUCACCAAACCUUCGAUGGAUAGGGGUUCUGAGAGGAAGGUCCCCCACAUUGGAACUGAGACACGGUCCAA